ACGGGGUGCAGCAGGCGCGAAACCUCUACAAUGCACGAAAGUGUGAUAGGGGGAUUCCACGUGCAAGCUUUGCUUGCUUUUCUCAAGUCUAAAUCGCUUGGGGAAUAAGGGCUGGGCAAGACCCGUGCCAGCCGCCGCGGUAACACGGGCAGCUCAAGUGGCGUUCGCGUAUAUUGGGCCUAAAGCGUGCGUAGCCUGUCAGGUAAGUUCUUGGUGAAAGCUUGCGACUUAAUCGUGAGAAUGGCCAGGAAAACUGCCCGACUUGGGACCGGAAGAGGUCGGAGGUAUUCCUUGGGUAGGGGUAAAAUCCUGUAAUCCUUGGAGGACCAUCGGUGGCGAAGGCGUCCGACUGGGACGGGUCCGACGGUGAGGCACGAAAGCUAGGGGAGCGACCCGGAUUAGAUACCCGGUUAGUCCUAGCCGUAAAUGAUGUCUGUUUGGUAUUGCGUGGCUUACGGGGCCCCGCAGUGCCGUAGGGAAGCCGUUAAACAGACCGCCUGGGAGUACGCCGCAAGGC
rnacentral:rRNA from 1 species